GCAAACUUGGUCAUUUAGAGGAAGUAAAAGUCGUAACAAGGUUUCCGUAGGUGAACCUGCGGAAGGAUCAUUAUUGAAUAAAACUUGGUCCAGUUGUUGCUGGCUCUUCGGAGCAUGUGCACACUUGGUCCAUUUUUUAACACCUCCUGUGCAUCUUGUGUAGAUUUAGACAUCUAUCGAGGCAACUCGGUCAGAGAAUUGCUGUGUGAAAGCCAGCUUUUCUUGUGUUUAGAUCUACAAUUUUACACACUCCUUAUUAAAGUAUUAGAAUGUAAACAUUGGGCCGCUAGUGCCUUUAAAAAUGAAAUACAACUUUCAACAACGGAUCUCUUGGCUCUCGCAUCGAUGAAGAACGCAGC
rnacentral:misc_RNA from 1 species